AUUGAACGCUGGCGGCAGGCCUAACACAUGCAAGUCGAGCGGAUGAAGGGAGCUUGCUCCUGGAUUCAGCGGCGGACGGGUGAGUAAUGCCUAGGAAUCUGCCUGGUAGUGGGGGAUAACGUCCGGAAACGGGCGCUAAUACCGCAUACGUCCUGAGGGAGAAAGUGGGGGAUCUUCGGACCUCACGCUAUCAGAUGAGCCUAGGUCGGAUUAGCUAGUUGGUGGGGUAAAGGCCUACCAAGGCGACGAUCCGUAACUGGUCUGAGAGGAUGAUCAGUCACACUGGAACUGAGACACGGUCCAGACUCCUACGGGAGGCAGCAGUGGGGAAUAUUGGACAAUGGGCGAAAGCCUGAUCCAGCCAUGCCGCGUGUGUGAAGAAGGUCUUCGGAUUGUAAAGCACCUUAAGUUGGGAGGAAGGGCAGUAAGUUAAUACCUUGCUGUUCUGACGUUACCAACAGAAUAAGCACCGGCUAACUUCGUG
rnacentral:rRNA from 1 species